UUAGUUAUUAUUCGCACCAAGAAAGAAUAACAAAUAUGGCAGGGGUUCUAAUGUUAAAUUGUUAUCAAAACAUUCACGUUGUGUUUUAAUUUAUAUUUUUACCAGUGCAGUUGACAGUUGUAUUUAAGUUAUUGUGAUUAAGAAAAGAGUCUCAAAAAAAUCAUUUAAUUAUUUGAUGCUAUAUACGAUUUGUUCGUUUUAAAUAUUUGAUAUUACUUAAGUAUAUAGACACUUAUACAUAUGAGAGAUUUAAAAUAGAUGGAAUCAGUAAUGGAAAUCUUGAUUUUUUGUAAAAUUGUCAGAUUUAUUGAUUCAUAAUCAAUCUUCAAUAAUGUUUUCUUUACUUUGUUUUGGUUUUUCAUUUUGGUCGUUAAUACCUUACAUAACCAUUCACUCAUGUUCAGCCAGUGGUUUAAAUCGAAAUACGGAAAGCAAUCUACAGACAGAAGGAUUAAGAUUUCCAACUACCAAUUAUAAAAUAGAUCACUAUCAAAAACAACGUGACUUUAUCAACUCAAAACCAUUUAAAAGAGGCAAAGAAUUUAAAUCACAACCUCGGUUUGAUAAAAGUUCAAAUGUUUUAUCAGAUAUGUAUUCAGAUUCUGAAAGCAUUCCUUAUACAAAUCCAGAUGAGGAAGAUGCGUAUACAAAAGGGUUAAUUAAUGCACUCACUAAAAAUGAUGAUCUUUUACUUAAAGGCUCAAAAUACGAUAUAGAAAGUCUAAUUACAGGGGGUCUCAAUAGCAAUAAAAACAGCGUCCAUCACAAUCGUGAAACCAACGACAACAAGAAUAAAGUGCUAGAAAAAGAAAAUGCGCUUAUCAAUACGGAACACGAUAAACAUAAUAUUCACUCGAAGGAGCAUGGUAUAUCAAACAAUCACUUUAAUGGAGAUAAUACUAUGACGUAUAACCACGACAAAGGAGAUAACAAUAUGAAUAGUCACGAUGAAGUAGAGUCUACUAUUAACAAAUAUCUGUACUCUGAUGAUGUUAAAAACGAUUUGCUUUCUGAUAAUGUACCUUUAGAUUCCUCAAUAAAAAAUGAAGUUUUAAAAUACAUCGAUCAAGACAAACCUGAAAUUGAUGAAACAAACCACAAGAUGGAAGAAAAUGAUCACUUUAAACAUUAUGAACAUGAGUUAAAAAUAGGGGAAGACGAUAGAGGAGAAAAAAACAAAAACUUUAACAAAUUUGAAAAUGAAUUUAAUAAAGACAGUAAGUUUGAAAAUGAAUAUUUUUUUGAUAACAAACAUAAAAACAAUGGAGAUAGUUUUGAAGACGGAAGUAAACACAGUUCUUUGAACGGAUAUUCUGAAAACAUGCGUUAUCAAAGUGACUUUAAUAAAAACUUCCCCGAAUAUCAUACAAAAGAAACAAAUUAUUUAUCCCAUGAUCAACAUCAAGAUAUCAAUGAAAAUGAAAAUAAUUCAUAUGAAAAAUUUGGCGAAACACACAACAAAGCUGAAAGUAACAACGAACUAUUUGAAAGCUCACAAAAAGAUACCAAUGCAGAUAAAAAGUUUACAACUAAUCUUAGCAAUAAAGUUUUAGAUAACAAUUUUUUCAAACACUCUGUAGAAGGAGAGUUAUUAGAUGAGUAUAAACACUACCCAAAUGAGUAUCUUACAAAAGAAGAAAGUUUAUUGGAAUCAGAAAAAAAUGUCAAUCAAAUACGAGAUGCUGUUAAACUAGAUAAUGAAGGGUUGAAUAACGAACUUUCUGCUAUUAAUGAAGAAGAGGAAAAGAUAGGUUCUAUGUUUGAUAAGAAAAAUAAAAGUCAACAAAGCCUCAAUGGGUAUGAAUAUGGUUCACAGACUGAAAGUCCUAUACAUUUUAAUUAUGAAACAAAUCAAAUUCAAGAAAACUACAAAAAUAACGAUGAAGCUAAAAGAUUUGACAAUGAAGACAAAAAAAAUGAUGAUUAUGAAGAGUUUGACAAUGAAACAAAAGAGUUAUUAAAUAUUGAUGUUCGAGCUAAUGGAAAAAUUGUUGAUACAAAUGGGCAACAUGCCACCUCAAAAGAAGAGGUGUUUGAUCAAGAUCUUGCUGUUCCUUUUAUACAAACUCCUCUUAACAUUUCUUUUAGUUCAAAAAAUAUGUCAAAUUUUAAAAAUGGAUCAACUUUGAAAAUGAGGUCAUCAAAACUAGAAGAAAGCAUGCUUUUAAAUGAAAUUAACAACUUGCAAAAUGAACUUAGAACAUCUAAACCAAGAAUAAUAACAAAUUCUGAUGCACAUUUUAUUGUAAAAAAAAACUUUUUUACAAAGAGAAGUGAGACCUUAAAUAGCAAAGCAAACCAAAACAAUCAAGACAAAACAAAUGAAGACCUAAAAGUCCAAAACAAUCAAGACAUAAAAGCUAUAAUAAAGAAGUUUAGAAUUAAUAAAAACUCUGUAGUUUUACUAGACAAAAGUUCAUAUGAGCCUCAAGAUAAAACACGCUCAAAAAGAAAUACAAAAAUAAGAGAACUAAAAACAAAUAAAAGUAGUUUAUCUUUGAAAAAAAAUGCCACCAAGAUAAAAAAUGUCACUUCUAUAAAUAUGGAUAUUACCAAGAGCAAAUGUCAAGCAGAUAAAAAGCAUAAGGAGCAUGUAUCUUGCAAUCCUGGAACUAACUACAGAGUUCUAGCAAGCAUUUCUGGAGCCGAAACAUUAAGUUCAGCAGAUAAAAAGUUAAAUUCAACAGAUAAAAACCUAACUUCAAUAAAUUCUAUGAAGAGUCUACAGUUAAAAAUGAAAAUAUAUCCUAAGGAAUCAAGAAGAUACACUAGAAGAGAUUCUGUUGAAAAAUCUCAGGAUUCUCAAGAAGGUAAAAAUUUACAAGUUGUUAUCAAGUCUACUGGUUGUUUUGAUCCACCUUUUCAUGGAAGCAACUGUGAUGCAACUAUUGGAUCAAUAAUGAUCAAUGGUGUUGAAAUAAGUCCAAAUCGGCCAGGGUUUAAUAUUGCUAUAAUUGAUUUAAAGACAGGGGAGUUAGAGCAAGCAAUGUCAUUCAAUACUCAUGGUGAAGCCGGAGCAUUUAAAAAAUUAGAAAACAUGCUUUCAAAUUUAGAAAUGUGGAAAAUCAUUUGCAUUGCAGUAAAGGAUGAUGCUGAAAGUUAUCUUCCAGAUUCUGCUCUACAUAUCUUUGAACAUAUUGGUGCUCAUGGUAUUGCAAAACAAAAGAUAGACUAUAGAGCUAGUUAUGCAUUUGUUGGACUAUCUGGUCCAGAAAGUGCAAGAAACAAGUUAAACUGGUUGCAAGAGGAAUUAACUCGAGCAGGAGAUGGUCCAAGCAUUAUAAUUACCCACAUUAGGACAGGUCUUGAUGCUUUUAAAGAAGCUGGUGGCAGAAUCUUUGAAAGCAAAAUAAAAGUUCCAGCAAGUUUUUAUAAAUCAAGUUUCAAUUCCAAAAAUGCUGUCAAAGAUGAAUCAAAAGUUUCAUUAGACAAUGAUAAUGAUUUUGAGAGACGAGUAAAAGUAAGUAACUCAAAUAAACCAGGACACAUUGACAAUAAUCAGUCAGAUGAGUCUCUUCAUGUCAAAAAUAAUGAAGAAAACAUGCAGCGCGAAACACAACUCAUUUCAGAUAACCAAAUGCCUGAAAGUCUUAAAAAUAUAUCCGAUAUUACUCAAACAAAAUCUGAAAAGUUAUCAGAUAUUGAACAGCAAAUACAAAAUUUGCAGUUAGCUCUAUCAAAAGAGAAACAGAACUACAAAAACAUUGUAGAAAUGGUGAUGACACAGAGUAGUCCAGACAACUUGAAGUUUUUAAAUUCUUUGAAAAAUAAUCUUUAUUCUAAAUUAAUUGAAAAUUUAAAUCCCAGCUCAACAACUGAUCACAAUAGAAAAUCACAAAGUAACUUUUUAGAUAAAAAUUUAGCCGCUGAAGAUUUUGUUGAAAGUCAAAAUCAUAACCAAGAAAAUCUUGAUAUUGUAAAUGCUUUGAAUAACUUAAAAUUCAGGAAUCAGUUUGUAGAAGUUGAACCUGAACGGAAAAAAUUUUCACAAAAUGAUAACAACUAUUCUGAAAAGCAGUUAGAUAGUGCAGCUUUAAAGUUAAUCCAAUCCUUUGAAAAUUCUGCUUCUAAAGAAAAUUUUUCAAAUGCUUCACCUGUAGAAAAUUAUUUUAAAACUUUACCUGUGGAAAGUUUCAUGAAAACUUCACCUGUGGAAAAUUUAAAUCCAGUUAGUUCGCUUUUAAAGCUAUCAAAUGCAUUCAAUGUUUUGGAUGGUUCAGAAAAUAUAAAUGAAGCAGAUUCUUUAAGACUUAAUGAGUUUUUAAGAAGUUCUGGAAAAUCAUCUUUAAAUAAAAUUGAAAAUAGUUUAUUCAGUAGCUUAAAAAAAAAUUUACCAUUAAAUCCUUUAUCUCAGGCAAUAGAUAAAGAUGAAACAACAAGUAAAACUCUCCCAUAUUCACUAAUAAAUAAUGUCUUACUGUCACUAACAAAUCAAUCUGUUCCUAGUGUUAAUAAAGACUAUCAAGAAAUUGAUAGCAAUGCUGUUGGAAGUAUAAAUAAUGAGAUUGGAAUCAAUUUUGCAAAGGCAACAAAUUACCAAAAUGUGGAUAAGAAUACAAAUGGAAAUGAAUUAACCCAAUCAGUUUUAUACAAGUAUAUUCAAGACUUGUUGCAAGCUGGUAAUCCUCAGACAAGCGUAAAAUCUUACCAGCUUCAAUCUGAUGAACUUGAGGAUCUCCAAAGUUUUAAAAAAAAUAUUGAUGGAAACAAACAGUUUGAAGUAAUUAAUUCACUAGGCUCUAAUAUAAACUCUGGUGUCCCCAAUCCUGCUUAUGAUUCAUCUUUAGAAAAAGAAGACAAAGCAAUAUCAAAAAGUAGUUCUUCUCAUGAAACUGUUGAUCUUGAUUCUCAAUAUACUGGUCAAGGUCCUUUUGGUUCAAUAUCUCAGGCAAACGUGAAAAAAAAACCUGACUACACUGAAAACUCUUCACUUGUUGAUUCUUCAUUAAUCAAGCAAGUUGUUGAAAAAAUUCCAAAUGAAACUGUUCAAACACUAGUAAAUCUUAUUAAAGAAAAGUUAACUAAUGAACUUCGACUUACGAUUCACUCUCCCUCCUCAAUGGAAUCAAAGUUUUCUUCAAGAAAGCAUAAAGCUAAGAUUGAUGAUGAAUGCGAAUCACCUGUUUCUAAAAUUUGUGAUGAUGAAUGCUAUAAAAAAAAUACGCUGAUUGGUCGUUACAUUAACAUACAAUCAUCAGACACAAAUGCAGUCAUUAAAGUCAAUGGGCAAGAUUGGAGCAAGGAUGAAGCUGGUUUUAAUUUGGUUGUUUUAGACUUCUUUACUGGAGAAGUUGAUUCAACUGAAUCUUUUGAUACUGAAGUGGAUGGUGGAGCAUCAAGAGCUAUGACAAAUUUUAUAAAUUCUCUUGCGCCAGGAAAAUUGUUACUAGUAGCAACUCGUGGAAAUGCAGGAGAACUCAUGGGGAACAAUGCUUAUACAGCUUUGGUAGUUUUUUUUGGGAUAUACAGGUGGAAGGAGUCUUCUAACCAAUCAUUUAAAUAAUGGAGAUCGGUAUGUUUUAUUAGGUGCAACAGGUAACUUGCGUUCCCUUAUACAAGAAGAUCUUGUGCAAUAUGGUAGCGAUAUAGCAGAAAUUAAAUCCCCAAUAGUUAUUGGACCUGGAGCAAUGAAUGAUACAUGCUUAUGCUUAAAGUACUGUGGAGCAAAUGAGGUUCAUAGAAAUUUUAAAGAAGAGCACAGAUCUAAAGGUUCUCAAAAAGAAUAUGAUUAUUUUAUUGGCAAAAAG
rnacentral:misc_RNA from 1 species